CAUGCAGUCGACGGUAACAGGGAAGAAGCUUGCUUCCUUUGCUGACGAGUGGCGGACGGGUGAGUAAUGUCUGGGAACUGCCUGAUGGAGGGGGAUAACUACUGGAAACGGUAGCUAAUACCGCAUAACGUCGCAAGACCAAAGAGGGGGACCUUCGGGCCUCUUGCCAUCGGAUGUGCCCAGAUGGGAUUAGCUAGUAGGUGGGGUAACGGCUCACCUAGGCGACGAUCCCUAGCUGGUCUGAGAGGAUGACCAGCCACACUGGAACUGAGACACGGUCCAGACUCCUACGGGAGGCAGCAGUGGGGAAUAUUGCACAAUGGCGCAGCCUGAUGCAGCCAUGCCGCGUGUAUGAGAGGCUUCGGUGUAAGUACUUCAGCGGAGAGGAGUAAGUUAUACUUGCUCAUGACGUACCGCAAAAAGCCCGCUACUCGUGCAGCAGCGGGUAUACGAGGGGCAGCGUUAUCGGAUACUGCGUAGCGCCCCCGGGGUGUAGUAAAAUGUAACCCGCCCACUGACUGCUUCUAAAAUUGCAGUUGAGUCUUGAAAG
rnacentral:rRNA from 1 species